UUCUACAAACAAUUCCGUUAAUUUACUUUGUCUGUAGGUUCCAAAGAGUCAAAUAAGUAAAAAGCAUUUAUUUUCCGUUGGCCACCAGAAACAUAGCGACGCUAUUGCCAGAACCGAAACUAGUCCAGCUGGCCACCCAGUGGCAUUGCUACCAGUAAUAUGCUUGCGUCAUUCUAGCGAUAACCUUACAUUAGAAAGUUUUUCGUACUCUCCAUGCUUCCUCGACAGCCAAUGCGCAUGCGUCGUGCGUGGCCCUUUUUCAGUUCCGAACGGACACUUGCGCUGUUCAGUCUUCGUAUCUGUUACCGCCGAGGAAGGAACCAAAGUUCACUUGUUCCCGCUGAACAGCUGUAACGCACACGCAAAGCCCAGGACAAGCCGCACAAGAACCGAGGAAGCCUCUUACAAUCAUGGUGGACAACGGGAGGAGCGCUGACAGAAGCACGGAAGGCCAAGCAAACCGGAACUAUGUGUGUGACGUGUGCUACCAAACUUACACGCAUUCAUCAAGCCUGGCAAGACAUCGACGCGCACACUCGGGUGAAAUUCUCCAUAAAUGCCCGGAUUGCCGCAUGACUUUCACCCGGAAAUCCAGCCUGGACCAGCAUAUGAGGUCACAGCAUUGUCAAUGUCGCAUCUGCGGGGCUACGUUUCCUAAUACUUACGCACUGAACACGCAUAUGGUCGCGCACACAUUGGGAUUAGUGGAAUAGAUACGAUGAUUUAAACGAUUUGCCGAGCAGUCCGCUAGUAAACAGUUUACGCAGCGCGUAUGGGGACGCGACCGAGGAACACAAAGUUUUGUGUACCUUCGAAUUUCUGCACAAGCAUGAAGACAAUAGCUGGAUCAUAAACUACCAUUGGCGAAAUAAUGAGCGAGCGCGUUAUGCGUUGUUCAGCCCUGCUAAACAUCCGGAUCAAAUAAUGAAGCGACGAUCUCCGAUUGUUGAGAAUUGCUAGACUAUGUGACAUACUAUGGUGCUGUUUCUACGAGACUUGCUUUGCUUAUGUAUACUAUAGACGGCAAGAAAAACGUUCCACAGUAGUAGCUACCUGACAAACGUAAGAAGUUUGCUCAUUUAUCUUGUUUGACUACAGCUCAGGCGUGGCUGCAUGGGAAGCUUUUAUCGUUGCUGAGUGAAAAUAUCUAGAAAUGCUUUGUUCGCGGUUUUUAUUUCAAGAUAUUUGAUCUGUUUCUUUAUUUCGUGCUAGAAUUGCGAAACGUGAAACUGUAUUAUUGGUCCCACAGAAAGACAAUAAAUGUAUGGUAAACAAUCAA